rnacentral:rRNA from 1 species
GACGAACGCUGGCGGCGUGCUUAACACAUGCAAGUCGAACGGAAAGGCCCUGCUUGCAGGGUACUCGAGUGGCGAACGGGUGAGUAACACGUGGGUGAUCUGCCCUGCACUUCGGGAUAAGCCUGGGAAACUGGGUCUAAUACCGGAUAGGAGCCAUUUUUAGUGUGAUGGUUGGAAAGUUUUUUCGGUGUAGGAUGAGCUCGCGGCCUAUCAGCUUGUUGGUGGGGUAAUGGCCUACCAAGGCGGCGACGGGUAGCCGGCCUGAGAGGGUGGACGGCCACAUUGGGACUGAGAUACGGCCCAGACUCCUACGGGGGGCAGCAGUGGGGAAUUUUGCCAAAUGGGGGAAAGCCUGAUGCAGCGACGCCGCGGGGGGGAUGACGGCCUUCGGGUUUUAAACCCCUUUCGCUGGGGAAGAAGCUUUUUGUGACGGUACCGAGAUAAGAAGCACCGGCUAACUACGU